UACGAAAGGGGCUAGCGUUGUUCGGAAUUACUGGGCGUAAAGCGCGCGUAGGCGGGCUAGCAAGUUGGGGGUGAAAUCCCGGGGCUCAACCUCGGAACUGCCUCCAAAACUGCUAGCCUAGAGGAUGUGAGAGGAUAGUGGAAUUCCGAGUGUAGAGGUGAAAUUCGUAGAUAUUCGGAAGAACACCAGUGGCGAAGGCGCCUGUCUGGCGCAUUUCUGACGCUGAGGUGCGAAAGCGUGGGGAGCAAAUAGG
rnacentral:rRNA from 1 species